rnacentral:rRNA from 1 species
GAUGAACGCUGGCGGCGUGCCUAAUACAUGCAAGUAGAACGCUGAAGGAGGAGCUUGCUCUUCUGGAUGAGUUGCGCACGGGUGAGUAACGCGUAGGUAACCUGCCUGGUAGCGGAGGAUAACUAUUGGAAACGAUAGCUAAUACAGCAUGACAACAGUUGUUGCAUGAUAACUGUCUAAAAGGAGCAACUGCUCUACUACCAGAUGGACCUGCGUUGUAUUAGCUAGUUGGUGAGGUAACGGCUCACCAAGGCGACGAUACAUAGCCGACCUGCGAGGGUGGUCGGGCCAACUGGGAAUGAGAAACGGCCCAGACUCCUACGGGAGGCAGCAGUAGGGAAAUUUCGGCAAUGGACGGAAGGCUGACCGAGGAAAGCCGCGGGAGUGAAGGAGGGUUUCGGGUUGGAAAGCUCUGUUGUAAGGGAAGAACGAGUGUUAGAGUGGAAAGUUCACACUGUGACGGUAUCUUACCAGAAAGGGACGGCUAACUACGUG